UCGUUGAGCGAAUCUUGACUUUGCUUGUCGGGAAUCAUCUGGGAAACAUCAAAACGGUCCCUAAACGAAUGGUUGUAAGUCAAGGAUUACCUGGGUUUCUUUCAAGAAAGGUUGCUUUCUCUGAAAACUACGUAUUGGAAGAGCAUCCGAUGUUUGCUGCUUCAAAUGUCUCAGCACCGACAAAGUCAAUAUUUAGGCGUAGGAUGGAUAUUUGGGUAAAAGGCACGGAAAUCUUUGAAGCUCUCGACAACAUUGUGUAUUUUUUAAAAAAUAGUGGUUGUGUUUACAAAAGUAAUUUGGGGCCGAGCACCACUGAAUUAAAAGGGUCCUUGGACCACAACAUCACAGCCGUAGGAGCCAAAAGUUGAAUUAGCCAGUGAGAAGGCUGUUCCACCGAUGCAGCGUUGUCUUCUCUAUGGACCAGGAAUGUUUUCAAUGGAUGUCCAAGAGAAGAGAGGUGCCUUCCCCCCCCACCCCAAAAGAAGAAGAAGGUGCCCACAAGGGGUCUGUAGCAAGCUGAGGGCGCUGCACAUCAAGAGAACAAAUGGGCACCUCUUUAUCCAGUCUGGUUUUUUUGAGCCACCAGAUCCUUGCAAGCCUCUUUUUCUUUUUAAUGGCUUUGCAAACGGGAUGUACCCCAGGAAGGGAGAUGAGGAAUUGCUCCGAAAAAGUAGCCAUGUGAAUUCACCCUUGCGAAGCUGCUAGACCCCCUAAGUGGCAGGUGCGCAAAAGCCAGGAGCACGAGAGCAGAGCUCGCUACGGCAGUUAGUCAACCCUUUAUUGGACAUGACCUGCACAGGAAUUGGGGAAAAGGGGAAGGGGGGUGGGUGGGGAAGAGCCUUAACAUCCUUUAGAAAAGCAAAAA